rnacentral:rRNA from 1 species
AGGGUGAGUAACACGUGAGCAAUCUGCCUUCGAGUGGGGAAUAACACUGGGAAACCGGUGCUAAAACCGCAUAAGACCACGGUCUGGCAUCAGACCGAGGUAAAAAGGGGGGACCGCAAGGCCUCUUGCUUGAAGAUGAGCUCGCGUCCUAUCAGCUUGUUGGUGGGGUAACGGCCUACCAAGGCUUUUGACGGGUAGCUGGUCUGAGAGGAUGGUCAGCCACAUUGGGACUGAGACACUGCCCAGACUCC